rnacentral:rRNA from 1 species
AUUGAACGCUGGCGGCAUGCUUUACACAUGCAAGUCGAACGGUAACAGGCCGCAAGGUGCUGACGAGUGGCGAACGGGUGAGUUAUGCAUCGGAACGUGCCCAGUCGUGGGGGAUAACUACUCGAAAGAGUAGCUAAUACCGCAUACGAUCUAUGGAUGAAAGCGGGGGACCGUAAGGCCUCGCGCGAUUGGAGCGGCCGAUGUCAGAUUAGGUAGUUGGUGGGGUAAAGGCUCACCAAGCCAACGAUCUGUAGCUGGUCUGAGAGGACGACCAGCCACACUGGGACUGAGACACGGCCCAGACUCCUACGGGAGGCAGCAGUGGGGAAUUUUGGACAAUGGGCGCAAGCCUGAUCCAGCAAUGCCGCGUGCAGGAAGAAGGCCUUCGGGUUGUAAACUGCUUUUGUACGGAACGAAACGGCUCUGGUUAAUACCCGGGGCUAAUGACGGUACCGUAAGAAUAAGCACCGGCUAACUACGUG